AUGUCUCUCACCGCGCUCGGUCUUGCGUCUUCCGUCACAGAUCUUGAGCUGGAUACCUGAAUAUCACAUAUUCAGCGUAACGAGACGACAUCGAACAUCGGCGGUCUUUGAGUACGGGCAAGGCUUGCGCUACCCAUAGCCUUACCUCGUAAUUUACCAGUCGAGACAG
rnacentral:snoRNA from 1 species